rnacentral:rRNA from 1 species
UACGUAGGUGGCAAGCGUUGUCCGGAUUUACUGGGCGUAAAGAGCGCGCAGGCGGUCGUUCAAGUCGCGUGUGAAAGCCCCCGGCUCAACUGGGGAGGGUCACGCGAUACUGAUCGACUCGAAGGCAGGAGAGGGUAGUGGAAUUCCCGGUGUAGUGGUGAAAUGCGUAGAUAUCGGGAGGAACACCAAUGGCGAAGGCAGCUUGCUGGGACGGUACUGACGCUGAGGCGGCGAAAGCGUGGGGAGCAAACAGGG